rnacentral:rRNA from 1 species
GUGAGGAAUAUUGGUCAAUGGACGGAAGUCUGAACCAGCCAUGCCGCGUGCAGGAAUAAGGUCCUAUGGAUUGUAAACUGCUUUUAUUCGGGAAUAAACCUCUUUACGUGUAGGGAGCUGAAGGUACCGAAGGAAUAAGCACCGGCUAACUCCGUGCCAGCAGCCGCGGUAAUACGGAGGGUGCAAGCGUUAUCCGGAAUCAUUGGGUUUAAAGGGUCCGCAGGCGGGCUAUCAAGUCAGAGGUGAAAUCCCACAGCUUAACUGUGGAACUGCCUUUGAAACUGAUGGUCUUGAAUUAAGUGGGCGUUGGCGGAAUAUGACAUGUAGCGGUGAAAUGCAUAGAUAUGUCAUGGAACACCGAAAGCGAAGGCAGCUAACGAUACUUAUAUUGACGCUCAUGGACGAAAGCGUGGGUAGCGAACAGGAUUAGAUACCCUUGUAGUCC